rnacentral:rRNA from 1 species
GACGGAAGGUGCAAGCGUUGUUCGGAAUUACUGGGCGUAAAGGGCGCGUAGGCGGCUUGCACCGUCAGAUGUGAAAUUCCUGGGCUUAACCUGGGGGCUGCAUUUGAUACGUGUGGGCUUGAGUGCGGAAGAGGGUCGUGGAAUUCCCAGUGUAGAGGUGAAAUUCGUAGAUAUUGGGAAGAACACCGGUGGCGAAGGCGGCGACCUGGUCCGUGACUGACGCUGAGGCGCGAAGCGUGGGGAGCAAACAGGAUUGAGAAACCCUAG